UUCUUAGUAUAAGUAUGUCUCAUGUCAUAUUUGGUACACACUUAUACUAAAA
rnacentral:pre_miRNA from 1 species